rnacentral:rRNA from 1 species
CAGUAGCCGCGGUAACACGGAGGGUGCAAGCGUUAAUCGGAAUUACUCGGCGUAAAGCGCACGCAGGCGGUCUGACAAGUCAGAUGUGAAAUCCCCGGGCUUAACCUGGGAACUGCAUUUGAAACUGUCAGGCUGGAGUCUUGUAGAGGGGGGUGGAAUUCCAGGUGUAGCGGUGAAAUGCGUAGAGAUCUGGAGGAAUACCGGUGGCGAAGGCGGCCCCCUGGACAAAGACUGACGCUCAGGUGCGAAAGCGUGGGGAGCAAACAGGAUUAGAUACCCCAGUAGUCCCUGUCUCUUAUAC